rnacentral:lncRNA from 1 species
UGUGGGAUUCUGGAGCAAAAGACUUUCUCUUUCAUGCUGGGCAUGAAUGAUGAGAAUUCAAGAGCUGCUAGAAUCCAUACUGGAACAUACGGAGGAGCAGAAUACAUAUUGGGGAAAAAACGACGCAAGCUUUGCGGGAAGGGCAGCAGUCCCUCCAAGCACAGGAAAGUACCGCUGGGAAACAAAACUGAACAGUGCCAUCUACUGGGAGAAAAAUGCACACAGAGAAGAAAGCUGGUGAAGCAGGUGAGAAUGAGAAAAAAACAGAGACAAAAGAUACCACUAAAGCUGAGCUGCUACAGGUGGAAUAGUCUGGAGAGAAUAAAAGAAAUACACAAAAGCCUGGGUGGCCUGGUGGAAGCAGAAAGGACAAUGGAUAAACUAAAAUGGUCCUUAGGAGGCACCUUUCCAACUUAUUUCAUUUUACAGGGGAGAAAAUAGAAGUAGAAGCAGUUAUUCACCUACUAAUUUGAUGCUAUCAAGACCUCAAUUCCUGGUGCACUAUUUUAUAUUUGACUUCCAACUAAGCAAGCACACAAACAAAUGCAGAGAUCAUUGUAUCUACAUUUUUGGUUACUUGAGAAUCUAUCUAUCUAUCUAGGAAUGUAUGUAAUUACUCACAUUCCUGUUUGUGGCAGAAGGCAUUGGCAGAAGCUAAAUGAGAAGGAGGUAGUGACAGACACCAAACUCAUUCAUGGAUGUAUGGAGAGGAACUGGGUAUACAGAGAGCAUGGGUCCCAAGAGGGGAGGAAGUAGAGGAGGAGAUGAAGAGCUGGGACUCCUUCUCUCUUCUCACCUUGUACUAAGUAGUGUUCACUGGUGGAAGCAACUUCCACUGCUUGUUUUUGGUUCUUUGGUGAAUACUAGUGACUUGGACUAACGAGUGACUGCAUUAUCCCAAGAUGGAGAAAGCCAGUGAAUCCCAUUGAUUCUAUAUUCAGAAUAUAUCCAGAGUCUGGCUACUUCUUUCCACCCACACUGUUACAGCCCUAGCCCAUGUUACCAUCACCCCUUGCCUGGACCACAGCAACAGCCUCCUAACAGGUCCUCUGCUUCUAAUCCUGGUUGUUCUCAACAAUGGCAGCCAGAAUCAUCCUACUACAGCUACUGGGCUGAAGACCUUCCAAGGCACCUCCCACCCAGUCAUCAGUGAGAUAAAGUUAAAGCCCUUAUGAUGUUCUGCAAAGCCCCACACUUCAGGUACCAUCUCAGCCUCCAUCCUCUCCUCAUUGCUUACUUUAGUUCAAGUACACUCACCUUUCUGCCUCAUUAUCUGUCUCCCUCAACUAUAUUGCUGGAUUGCUGACAGAAGGACUAUUUAUCUCUUUUUUGACUAGUGUGUCUUAUGUGUGCAGGAGAGUGUCUGGCACAUAUCAGGCUCUCAAUACAUUUUUGUUGAAUGAAUACAUGAAAUAUCAUAAUGGUACUUGCAUCAAGACUUGCAAACGCUUCUCAUCUAUACCUUUCUCCUCAAAGUUAAACUACCCAAGAAGCUAUUUAAUCAAGUCCUUUUAUUUUGUAGAGAAGAAGACAGAGGCUCAGGAAGACAAAAUGACUAGGAUUUGGUGAUAUGUCUUCUGGCUUAAAACCAUAUGUUUUCCAUCCAUUUUCCUCAUCUUUCCAAUGAUAUUAUCAACUCGUGAGAACAGAGAUAACCAUUGUGCUUUUGGUCCUCCACAGUAUAUGCCACAUUCAGUAACUUGAUCACUAACAACUUUUGGUUUGGUGGAUACUCAGAAAAGUUUAAACCGCUUUAUGUAAUAAUAUUCCCAUAGUCCAAGGGAAACACACCAGCAAAAGCCUUUUUUUUUUUUUUUUGUCUUUUUAGGGCUGCAACCACAGCAUAUGGAGGUUCCCAGGCUAGGGGUCAAAUCAGAGCUGCAGCUGCCAGCCUACACCACAGCCACAGCAAUGCCAGAUUCCAGCCACAUCUGCGACCUACACCACAGCUCACAGCAGUGCCAGAUCCUUAACCCACUGAGCGAGACCAGGGAUCGAAGCUUCAUCUUCAUGGAUACCAGUCAGAUUCAUUUCUGCUGAGACACGAUGGGAACUCCAACCAGCAGAGUUCUUAAUAUUGAUCCUCAACACACUUGUUUUCCCCUCAGAGGAAGUGCUUCCUUCUUCAAACCGAAAUAAUUCAAACUCCAACCCAAACUCACAGGGUUGCUCUGGCCUUAGAGUUCAUUGUUCUCCCCAUGUCAGACUAUCUGGGGUUUACUGCAAUCUUCAACAGGACAGUCCCCAAGGUCUGAGUUACUCAGUCAUGGGCAAGGUGGAGGAGGUGGCAAGGCUGGAGAUUGAUGGUCUAGGGUGGGCCUUAGGAUUCCAUGUCUGGUUACUUUCGAGAUCUUUCCACCAAUCAGCGAAGUCAAAUAAGAAUUCCUAGUAGAGCAACUUAUACAACUCAACAGCAAAAAAGCCAACAACCCAAUUGAAAAAUGGGCAAAAGACCUGAAUAGACAUUUUUUCCAAGGAAGAUGUGCAGAUGGCCAACAAGCACAUGGAAAAAUGCUCAAAAUCCCUGAUUAUUAGAGAAAUGUAAAUCAAAACUACCAUGAGAUACUGCCUCACACCAGUCAGAAUGGCCAUCAUUAAUAGGUCCACGAAUACAAAUGCUGGAGGCGGUGUGGAGAAAAGGGAACCCUCUUGCACUGUUGGUGGGAAUAUAAGCUGGUACACCCACUAUGGAGAUCAGUAUGGAGAUACCUUAGAAAUCUAUACAUAGAACUACCAUAUGACCCAGCAAUCCCACUCGUGGGCAUAUAUACAGACAAAACUUUCCUUAAAAAAGACACAUGCACCCACAUGUUCAUUUCAGCUCUAUUUAUGAUAGCCAAGACAUGGAAACAACCCAAACGUUCAUCGAUAGGUUACUGGAUUAGGAAGAUGUGGUAUAUAUACACAAUGGAAUACUACUCAGCCAUAAAAAAGGACAAAAUAAUGCCAUUUGAAGCAGCAUGGAUGGAACUAGAGAUGCUCAUCCUGAGUGAAGUAAGUCAGACAGAGAAAGACAAAUAUAAGAUAUCAUUUAUAUCUGGAAUCUAAUAUAAGGCACAAAUGGACCUUUCCACAGAAAAGAAAAUCAUGGACUUAGAGAAUAAACUUGUGGUUGCCAAAGAGGAAUAGACUUGU